AAUGUUUCUGCAUUCAUGUUGGUAAUUUAAUCACGAAUACGCGUAAGAAAUUGACGUUUUGUAGAAAUUUUAAAUUCGAGUUGUUCUAAUUGUGGCAUUGCAUUACAUUUGAUACAUUUUACGGAUUUUGUACUGAGUGCAUAUUGUUGUUUCAGCUAAUAUGCAAAGGGAAACUAUCUAGUGACAUUAACGUUUGUCUUCUUGUCGAUUUACGCUGCGCAAGUCAGUGUAUACUGGAAUCUAUUUUUGGAUGGAUAAUAUAAAGACGUUCUGUAAAUAGGUUUUGGUCGAUAUUUGUUUCUAAGAAUAGCUCUCUCUUCUAUAGUAAAGAAACUUGCUGUUCUCUUUAGCUAGACUAUUUUUAAUGUAGUGCCGCUUACAAAUAUUUUUAGUUAAGGGGUUGUGUUUUAGUAUUGACCGGAACGGGUGCCAGUGGUGGUGAUGACGCAAAGAAGUUCAAAAGGUCGUUCAAAUUAACAUGUAGAAUGUACGUCAGAAAUAAACGAAUUUCGUCUCCAUAGGCAACCGAUUGCGUAGGCGUUUUGUCCGGAUCAAUACAUGUGUGAACUAAUAUUCCUUGUGAAAUACAUAAAAUUGCUUCUGUUUCCUUUAUAAUUACGCGAGUGGUACUGCUGGAUUAAAUGUCAUAAAUAAUGCACAGCCAGAAGACAGACAGUGGGAAGGAUAAUUUAUUCCGUGCUGCCAAAGAGAAAACAGAGCAUAACAAAAAAAUAUUACAUCGCCAUAUAUGAAUAAACGAUUGAAUUACAUAAGAAUAAAAUAGAUAAACAAAGCAUUAUGUGUUAAUAAUUGUCACCUCAUUAAUUUUGAUCCUCCCUGAUAUUUGCUAAUAAAAUUCUGUUUAAAUACGUUAAAACACAAGGGGUGAUCUGAUAAAGGUUUUACGCCGUACCAACACAGUACAGGUUAAAUGACGCCAAGCAGGACUAAACGUUUUGGUUUCACAGCUCAUUUACGUCGAAAUAUGGAAUCACAACUUUAUAUCUGCCGGAAUCGCCGAGACACAGCAAAACCAAGUGUUCAGACUCGGUUAGUCGCCUCUUACGAUCGUGCAAGGUUAAGACAAUACAGACACAAGUUGUUGUCCCAAAUCCACAAGGGUAUUACAGUUUCAUUCAGUAGUAAUAUAACGUUUGAUUUGCUUAUAUAUAUAUUGGCUGCCUUCUGGAAUAUGUUAUUAUUGCAGUUAAACCAUCUUUUCCCGGACGUCAACGGAUAAUAAAUAUGAAAUUGGACGAUAGUAUAUUUGUCAAUAUGAAAAUUAUGAAACAAUACAUUUUAUUAUUGCUUAAGACUUUAUUUAAGGUAGUUCUGCACGUAAGUGACAGCGUAACGGUCAUUUAUCUGGAAAACCAAAAACAAUGUCUGGUAGCCGUUGUGCAGGUAGCCUAAAUGUUGUCGAGAAUCCAUUAUAUUCAGUGUAUGAAGAGUAUACAUUCAGGGCUACUGUCAUUCUUAAGAUAAAUUUUGACAAUUGAUAGUCGUUGGUGUAUAACAAUUCAAGAAAAUAGCAUAAACUAAACAGAAGUGCAAGGACUCAAACUGAAGUUUUGCGAAUUGUAAAAAAAAUAAGCACAAGGACCAGUACACUUUAUUUGAUCAUAUACAAUUAUGAAAAGUUUCAUUAAUAAUCAUAUCGUUGAAUUUUUUCUUCAUGAAAAAAUGUCAUCAAAAAUGCAGUUUUACCAUUGAAGACCAUUGUGAAAACUGACCGGGUUGAAAAAAAAUAGAUAAAAAGCAAACGAACCUAUCGUUUUACUUGCUUAAUUUCCUUCGGAUACAAUGAUGCUUUGAAAAAAAUAUGGUUGUAUAAAAUUCUUCGUUGUAGAACAAUAUUAGUAUCAAACAGGCAGAACUACCUUAACGGGGACACAAAUCUGGACAAGUCAGUCUUUCACGGGAUAAUCAACAAAUUACGUACAGUUACAAACAACAAAUGACAUACAUUUACACAAAUAUAUAUUUCAAAAUCAUCAGGUUAACAAAGAAGAUUUUUCUCAAGA
rnacentral:lncRNA from 1 species